CCUACGGGAGGCUGCAGUGGGGAAUAUUGCACAAUGGGGGGAACACUGAUGCAGCGACGCCGCGUGAGUGAAGAAGGAUUUCGGGAUGUAAAGCUCUAUCAGCAGGGAAGAAAAUGACGGUAACUGACUAAGAAGCUCCGGCUAAAUACGGUCCAGCAGCCGCGGUAAAACGUAGGGAGCAAGGGUUAUCCGGAUUGACUGGGGGUAAAGGGAGAGUAGGUGGCAGAGCAAGUCCGAAGUGAAAACCCAAAGCUCAACUAUGGGAAUGCUUUAGAAACUGCACAGCUAGAGUGCAGGAGAGGCAAGUGGAAUUCUUAGUGUAGCGGUGAAAUGCGUAGAUAUUAGGAGGAACACCAGUGGCGAAGGCGGCUUUCUGGACUGUAACUGACACUGAGGCUCGAAAGCGUGGGGAGCAAACAGGAUUAGAUACCCUUGUAGUC
rnacentral:rRNA from 1 species